UACGUAGGGGGCAAGCGUUGUUCGGAUUCACUGGGCGUAAAGGGUGCGUAGGCGGCUUAGCAAGUCGGAUGUGAAAUCCCUCGGCUCAACCAAGGAAGUGCAUCCGAAACUGCUGAGCUUGAGUACGAAAGAGGAUCGCGGAAUUCCCGGUGUAGAGGUGAAAUUCGUAGAUAUCGGGAGGAACACCAGUGGCGAAGGCGGCGAUCUGGGUCGAUACUGACGCUGAGGUGCGAAAGCGUGGGGAGCAAACAGG
rnacentral:rRNA from 1 species